rnacentral:rRNA from 1 species
UACGUAGGUGGCAAACGUUGUCCGGAAUUAUUGGGCGUAAAGCGCGCGCAGGCGGUCCUUUAAGUCUGAUGUGAAAGCCCACGGCUCAACCGUGGAGGGUCAUUGGAAACUGGGGGACUUGAGUACAGAAGAGAAGAGUGGAAUUCCACGUGUAGCGGUGAAAUGCGUAGAGAUGUGGAGGAACACCAGUGGCGAAGGCGACUCUUUGGUCUGUAACUGACGCUGAGGCGCGAAAGCGUGGGGAGCGAACAGG